rnacentral:rRNA from 1 species
UACGUAGGGGGCUAGCGUUGUCCGGAUUUAUUGGGCGUAAAGAGCGUGUAGGCGGCCAGGUAGGUCUGCUGUGAAAACUCGAGGCUCAACCUCGAGACGUCGGCGGAAACCAUCUGGCUAGAGUCCGGAAGAGGAGAGUGGAAUUCCUGGUGUAGCGGUGAAAUGCGCAGAUAUCAGGAAGAACACCUAUGGCGAAGGCAGCUCGCUGGGACGUUACUGACGCUGAGACGCGAAAGCGUGGGGAGCAAACAGG